UCAGCACUUGUUCUUCAGAGAAGUUUACAGCUAAGACCAUGUAAAGGGCCCAUACUUGCCAGAGUUAAAUGCAGUUACAUUUGUGAAGAGCUUUGAAGAAGAUGACCACAUACAAGGGCAUGUACUUCACCGAAUGGAUAGCAGGCACCUUUUUUUGUGUUGCAGCUUCUCAGCCACAUAUUCAUGGAGACUCAAGGAGACACAUCAAGGAUAUCUAACAGCUAAGACUGAAUUUGAGAAGACAUACCUGCCACAGAUUUUUUGC